GACGAACGCUGGCGGCGUGCUUCACACAUGCAAGUCGAACGGUGAAGCCCCUUCGGGGGCGGAUCAGUGGCGAACGGGUGAGUAACACGUGGGCAACCUGCCCCUGACUCUGGGAUAACCCCGGGAACCGGAGCUAAUACCGGAUACGACCUCUGACCGCAUGGUCUGGAGGUGGAAAGUUUUUCGGUCAGGGAUGGGCCCGCGGCCUAUCAGCUU
rnacentral:rRNA from 1 species